GCAUCCGUGGCCGAGUGGUCUAAGGCGCUGCAUUCAAGUCGCAGUCGUUUCGACGGCGUGGGUUCGAACCCCACCGGAUGCA
rnacentral:tRNA from 1 species